rnacentral:rRNA from 1 species
GGUUCGAUCAUGGCUCAGAUUGAACGCUGGCGGGAUGCUUCACACAUGCAAGUCGAACGACAGCACGGACUUCGGUCUGGUGGCGAGUGGCGAACGGGUGAGUAAUGUAUCGGAACGUGCCUAGUAGCGGGGAUAACUACGCGAGCGUAGCCACACCGUAUACGCUCUUCGGGGAAAGCGGGACCUUCGGGCCUCGCACUAUUAGAGCGGCCGAUAUCGGAUUAGCUAGUUGGUGGGGUAACGGCUCACCAAGGCGACGAUCCGUAGCUGGUUUGAGAGGACGACCAGCCACACUGGGACUGAGACACGGCCCAGACUCCUACGGGAGGCAGCAGUGGGAAUUUUGGACAAUGGGGAAACCCUGAUCCAGCCAUCUCAUGUGUGCGAUGAAGGUCUUCGGGUUGUAAAGCACUUUUGGCAGGGGAAAGAAACGGCACGGGAUAAUACCCCGUGCAACUGACGGUACCUGCAGAAUAAGCACCGGCUAACUACGUGCCAGCAGCUGCGUAAUACGUAGGGUGCAAGCGUUAAUCGAAUUACUGGGCGUAAAAGCGUGCGCAGGCGGUUCGGAAAGAAAGAUGAAAUCCCAGAGCUUAACUUUGGAACUGCAUUUUUAACUACCGAGCUAGAGUGUGUCAGAGGGAGGUGAAUUCGCGUGUAGCAGGAAUGCGUAGAUAUGCGGAGAACACCGAUGGCGAAGGCAGCCUCCUGGGAUAACACUGACGCUCAUGCACGAAAGCGUGGGGAGCAAACAGGAUUAGAUACCCUGGUAGUCCACGCCCUAAACGAUGUCAACUAGUCGGUUGGGGCCUUCGCCUUGGCAGCGCAGCUAACGCGUGAAGUUGACCGCCCGGGGAGUACGGUCGCAAGAUUAAAACUCAAAGGAAUUGACGGGGACCCGCACAAGCGGUGGAUGAUGUGGAUUAAUUCGAUGCAACGCGAAAACCUUACCUACCCUUGACAUGUCUGGAAUCCCGAAGAGAUUUGGGAGUGCUCGCAAGAGAACCGGAACACAGGUGCUGCAUGGCUGUCGCGUCAGCUCGUGUCGUGAGAUGCUGGGUUAAGUCCCGCAACGAGCGCAACCCUUGUCAUUAGUUGCUACGAAAGGGCACUCUUAAUGAGACUGCCGGUGACAAACCGGAGGAAGGUGGGGAUGACGUCAGUCCUCAUGGCCCUUAUGGGUAGGGCUUCACACGUCAUACAAUGGUCGGGACAGAGGGUCGCCAACCCGCGAGGGGGAGCCAAUCCCAGAAACCUCGGAUCGUAGUCCGGAUCGCAGUCUGCAACUCGACUGCGUGAAGUCGGAAUCGCUAGUAAUCGCGGAUCAGCAUGUCAAAGACAUGUUCCGGUCUUGUACACACCGCCCGUCACACCAUGGAGUGGCUUUACCAGAAGUAGUUAGCCUCAACCGUAAGGAGGGCGAUUACCACGGUAGGAUUCAUGACUGGGGUGAAGUCGUAACAAGGUAA